ACGAACGCUGGCGGCAUGCCUAACACAUGCAAGUCGAACGAGACCUUCGGGUCUAGUGGCGCCCGGGUGCGUAACGCGUGGGAACCUGCCUUUAGGUUCGGAAUAACUCAGAGAAAUUUGAGCUAAUACCGGAUGAUGUCUUCGGACCAAAGAUUUAUCGCCUUUAGAUGGGCCCGCGUUGGAUUAGCUAGUUGGUGGGGUAAAGGCCUACCAAGGCGACGAUCCAUAGCUGGUCUGAGAGGAUGAUCAGCCACACUGGGACUGAGACACGGCCCAGACUCCUACGGGAAGCAGCAGUGGGGAAUAUUGGACAAUGGGCGAAAGCCUGAUCCAGCAAUGCCGCGUGAGUGAUGAAGGCCUUAGGGUUGUAAAGCUCUUUUACCCGAGAUGAUAAUGACAGUAUCGGGAGAAUAAGCUCCGGCUAACUCCGUG
rnacentral:rRNA from 1 species